rnacentral:ncRNA from 1 species
GGAGCCGGUGCGGCAGGCGGUCAAAGACAAAUAACCUUGGGAAAGAACCUUCCAAACCAACCAAACCCCGCGUACGUCACUCGCUGGAGUGAAUCCGCCCAACACGGGUGGCGCGGGGGCGGUUUGGCCGGGCACGCUCGCCGUUGACAACCGCAGAUAUGCGACGGCCCCCGCCGGGAGUGCGAAUCCCAGUGCGAGGGCCUGACCAUCGAGGAAGAGAAAAGGUCUUCCCC